rnacentral:rRNA from 1 species
AACACAUGCAAGUCGAACGAUGAAAGCAGGAGCUUGCUUUUGCUGGAUUAGUGGCGAACGGGUGAGUAACACGUGAGCAAUCUGCCCCCGACUCUGGGAUAACCCCGAGAAAUCGGAGCUAAUACCGGAUACGACACCUCCUGGCAUCAGGUGGGUGUGGAAGGAAUUUCGGUUGGGGAUGAGCUCGCGGCCUAUCAGCUUGUUGGUGAGGUAAUGGCUCACCAAGGCGACGACGGGUAGCCGGCCUGAGAGGGUGACCGGCCACACUGGGACUGAGACACGGCCCAGACUCCUACGGGAGGCAGCAGUGGGGAAUAUUGCACAAUGGGCGCAAGCCUGAUGCAGCAACGCCGCGUGGGGGACGACGGCCUUCGGGUUGUAAACCUCUUUUGGCAGGGAAGAAGCGAAAGUGACGGUACCUGCAGAAAAAGCACCGGCUAACUACGUGCCAGCAGCCGCGGUAAUACGUAGGGUGCAAGCGUUGUCCGGAAUUAUUGGGCGUAAAGAGCUCGUAGGCGGUGUGUCACGUCUGCUGUGAAAAUCCAAGGCUCAACCUUGGACUUGCAGUGGGUACGGGCACACUCGAGUGCGGUAGGGGAGAUUGGAAUUCCUGGUGUAGCGGUGGAAUGCGCAGAUAUCAGGAGGAACACCGAUGGCGAAGGCAGAUCUCUGGGCCGUAACUGACGCUGAGGAGCGAAAGCGUGGGGAGCGAACAGGAUUAGAUACCCUGGUAGUCCACGCCGUAAACGGUGGGAACUAGAUGUGGGGUCCGUUCCACGGAUUCCGUGUCGCAGCUAACGCAUUAAGUUCCCCGCCUGGGGAGUACGGCCGCAGGGCUAAAACUCAAAGAAAUUGACGGGGGCCCGCAACAAGCGCGGAGCAUGCGGAUUUAUUCGAUGCAACGCGAGAACUUACCAAGGCUUGACAUAUAGAGGAAAAGUGGCAGAGAUGCCACUCCCCGGCAGGGUCU